AUUGAACGCUGGCGGCAGGCCUAACACAUGCAAGUCGAGCGGCAGCGGGAAAGUAGCUUGCUACUUUUGCCGGCGAGCGGCGGACGGGGGAGUAAUGCCUGGGGAUCUGCACAGUCGAGGGGGAUAACUACUGGAAACGGUAGCUAAUACCGCAUACGCCCUACGGGGGAAAGCAGGGGACCUUCGGGACUUGCGCGAUAGGAUGAACCCCGGUGGGAUUAGCUAGUUGGUGAGGUAAGGGCUCACCAAGGCGACGAUCCCUAGCUGUUCUGAGAGGAUGAUCAGCCACACUGGAACUGAGACACGGUCCAGACUCCUACGGGAGGCAGCAGUUGGGAAUAUUGCACAAUGGGGGAAACCCUGAUGCAGCCAUGCCGCGUGUGUGAAGAAGGCCUUCGGGUUGUAAAGCACUUUCAGCGGGGAGGAAGGGUCACUAGUUAAUACCUAGUGGCAUUGACGUUACUCGCAGAAGAAGCACCGGCUAACUCCGUGCCAGCCGCCGCGGUAAGAC
rnacentral:rRNA from 1 species